rnacentral:rRNA from 1 species
UACGUAGGGGGCUAGCGUUGUCCGGAUUUAUUGGGCGUAAAGAGCGUGUAGGCGGCCAGGUAGGUCUGCUGUGAAAACUCGAGGCUCAACCUCGAGACGUCGGCGGAAACCAUCUGGCUAGAGUCCGGAAGAGGAGAGUGGAAUUCCUGGUGUAGCGGUGAAAUGCGCAGAUAUCGGGAAGAACACCCGUGGCGAAGGCGGCGCUCUGGGACGGUACUGACGCUGAGACGCGAAAGCGUGGGGAGCGAACAGG